rnacentral:rRNA from 1 species
GCUUUACUGUAACUUGGAAUUGAGUUUGGGCUCUUCUUGCGCAGUAUAGGUGGGAGGCUAAGAAAAUAUGCUUGCGGGCAUAUUUGAGCCAUCAUUGAGAUACCACUCUGGAAGGGUUGGAACUCUAACUUUGAGCCGUAAGCCGGCCAAAAGACAGUUUCUGGUGGCAGUUUGACUGGGGCGGUCGCCUCCUAAAAAGUAACGGAGGCGCGCAAAGGUUCCCUCAGGACUGGUUGGAAAUCAGUCCGUAGAGUGUAAAGGCACAAGGGAGCUUGAACUGCGAGACUACAACGUCGAGCAGAGACGAAAGUCGGCCUUAGUGAUCCGACGGUCCAUGAGUGGAAGGGCCGUCGCUCAACGGAUAAAAGUUA